rnacentral:lncRNA from 1 species
AGGAAGAAUACAAGACAUUUUGAUAGAACUGACAGAGCACAAAAUACCAUGGAGAGGUGACAAAAGGAGUAAUUUGUGUUUGCUGGAACAUGAAGUUGUGGAGGCCAAAAAUAAUUGUUUCUGAAAAGAGCCUUUAAAGAAUGGAAUAAUCACCAGAAAUACAGAGAAACCAUGCCAAGAGUAAGGAGGAGAAGGCACAAAAGCAUAGUAUCAGGGAAGAAUUUUCUAGGAAUAAUGAAUAUUUCAAGUUAGCUGGACCAUAAGUACAUAAGGGGAAGUGGUGAGGCCUCAGAAUUAUAACUUUGUUCAAUAUUAUGUAAUGAACUUAUGUAAUGUCUAUUGAAUGCGUGGCCAGAGCCUGGACUUGAUCCUAUAGGCAGUGAAGGGCCAUUGAGAGAUUUGAGGACUUGAAGAAAAUAUCUGGAGCUACAGUUCAGGAAGAUUGUUCUGAUGCUAGUUUGGAGCAAAAUCUGCAUUUACAAACCUAAAAAUAAUUUUCCUGACUGUUAUUUUAACAUUUAAUGAGUUAAAUUCUCAGCGGUCUGUAUUCCCUGUUCUCUCUUCCAACUAAGCAUGUAUUGUUUUCAAAGUUUGGAGAGAAGAGAAAUAAUAAAUAACAUGUUAUUAUUUCAUACCUAUGAUGUCACAAUAUAGGAGUUAUAACCUUGGUUUUCAGAUAAGGAAAGCAGUGGUUGGCUUGGGGAAAGAACAGAAGGACUUUUGGGGAAAGGCAUGCCUGGAGGCCAGCACCCUAGUUGGUGAAUGCUUGAAAAAAUGUGUUGAUGUUGAGUCUGAGCCACACGGCCUUCUGCUACCAUGGUUUAAGUGCAUCUGUACAGGGAAGGAACUACCUAUUUUGAUUGCCUGAAUUCAAAUUAUGGCUCUCAUACUUACCUAUGGGAUGACUUGGGGCUAAUGCAUAAACUUCUUUAAUCCUCAGGUUCCUCAUCUGUAAAAUGGAAUGCUAAAACUGUGUACCUCAUAGAGUAGAAUUAAAUAAGUUAAUAAGCAAAAGCACUUAAAACAGUGUCUAGCACAUAGUAUGUACUGUGUAAUGAAAAUAUUUGCUAUUUUAAUAGAACCGUUGCCACUAAUGAUGUAUUCUAAAUACCUAGAUGUAUUCUAAAUGCCUAGAACACUACUGUACAAAAGAGGUGCUAAGUUGUAUUUGAGUUAAUAGAUGGAUUAAUGAAAAUUCUACCCAAGUAAUUUCUAUGAGAAAUUUAAUGAACUUAUGUAAUUUCUAUAAAGGUGAUCGCAAACCACAAAGACCUCAGGACUGACUGCUCACUGAAGCAAAGUUAAGUGUUAGAAUACUUGGUACUCAAGAUGCAAGGUGAUCAGGAUAGGAUCCCUAUUAUUCAGAUCUUGUAUAGAGUGCUCAAAACAAACUAUAUUAUUAAUUUAGCACAGUAAUUAGCAAAAUUCUCAAAAGGUUCCCUUUAUUUCAGUUAUUUCACUUAUGAUAUAAAACAUAGUCACAAAACAGAAAGCUUGAUGCACAGAAAUGUUCACCAUAUUUAUAAUUGCAAAAAAAAAACUCAGCCCAACAUCUAAAUGUGGCAAAAUGAGUAAACAAAUUGGCAAGCAUUCAAUGAAAGGAACAUUAGCCAUACUCUUUAAAUGUCAUAGUAAGACAUAUAUAUUAGAAGAUAUAUAUAUGCAUUAGAUACAUGUCAUAAUAAGAUAUUAGAAGACAUACGUAUUAUAUGUAAGUUUUAUUGACGUCUAGUUGGUUUUCAAUGUCAUGAUUGUUUUGCUGUACAACAAAGUGAUUUAGUUAUACAUGUACACAUAUCCAUUCUUUAUUCAGAUUCUUUUUCCAUAUGGGUUAUCACAGAGUAUUGAGUAACGUUCCCUGUGCUAUA